GACGAACCGUCCAAACGUUAUUCGGAAUCACUGGGCUUAAAGGGUGCGUAGGCGGCCAUGUAAGUGAGGUGUGAAAUCCCUCGGCUCAACCGAGGAACUGCGCUUCAUACUGCAUGGCUUGAGGGAGACAGGGGUAAGCGGAACUGAUGGUGGAGCGGUGAAAUGCGUUGAUAUCAGCAGGAACACCGGUGGCGAAAGCGGCUUACUGGGUCUCUUCUGACGCUGAGGUACGAAAGCUAGGGUAGCGAACGGG
rnacentral:rRNA from 1 species